rnacentral:rRNA from 1 species
GACAGAGGUCUCGAGCGUUAGGCGGAAUCACUGGGCUUAAAGCGUGUGUAGGCGGACUUCUAAGUGCCUUGUGAAAUCCCACGGCUCAACCGUGGAACUGCUUGGCAUACUGGUUGUCUUGGGCCAUCUAGGGGCUACCGGAACAAACGGUGGAGCGGUGAAAUGCGUAGAUAUCGUUUGGAACGCCAAUGGUGAAAACAGGUAGCUGGGGAUGUGCCGACGCUGAGACACGAAAGCCAGGGGAGCGAACGGG